AAAAAGAACAAGAAACUGGCGUCCAAGGAUGGGAAAGAGGCUAAGGUCACACAAAUGACAAAGCUGGGAGUCAAACCCUGGUUCCAAAUCCAGUGCUUUGACAUAUGAGUGAUGUUUGAAGAAACUGAAGAUAUUUAACCAGGAGAAAAGAAGACUUGGGGAGAUUGGGUCAAAGCACUGAGCCCCAUGCUUCUCUGUGAACUGGACCAAAAGUGAAAAUUGGACUCAAAGUGCUUUGGGUUUGGUUUUACAAAAUGUGUAUCUUUUUUUUUUUUGUGAAAAAUUAUAUUUUGUACUUUUCUCAGAGAUAUUUUCAAAUCUUUGGGAGAAUUCUUUAUAUAUACAUGUGUGUGUGUGUGUGUGUGUGUGUGUGUGUGUGUGUAUACACAUAUCCCCAUAGAGCAAAAAGCAUAGACAUAGCUCUAUUGUAAGAAAAAUACUCUUCCUACAGAUAAUAUACCAGGGGUGAAAGGGGGAAGAGGCAUGGAAUGUCACCUUAAGAUUUGGGGUACUUGAGGUUACAGAGAACCUUCUCCCCUAAGAGACUCUUACUCUCUACAGGGUCCCCUCACCCUUACAAAGAUAAUCCUACUAUGUUUAUUUAAUAAAGAUGAAUUUAACAAUAUGGGAAGGUAUUAGGGUAGAGGGAAUAGGGAUUUUCCUAUACUUUGCCACAGAUUGGGUUUAAGUCUCUCUCAUCUUUUGAGCUGAGGCCAGGCCUUACAGGCUGGUAGAGGGUUUCUUUUAUUCCUGUCUAUGCUAUGUCUGUGCUAGUUUUCUUAAGUUCAAAAUCUUAGGAGUAGACAGCAAGAGGAAGAAAAGAUUCUGACCUUCAAAUCUGGUUGGGCCUGUUUCCUCGGGCUAGUACCCUAAAGACCAGCCUUACAGUUCAAACCACUCCCCUUAAAUCCUUUUGUUUGAUGACACCAUUAUAGGAAUCCAGGUGGAACAAACAGUUGGGAAAAAUCUAGGAAUAGAGGUACUUCUAUCCAGAAACAGGGAGAGAACACUCCUUCCAGUUUGAGGGCCAGGAAAAAAAAUGACCCUUGGAAGCAACUAUCACUCUCCAAGUCCCCCUAUCCCCUCUAACUGCCUUUGCUGUCAAUAUCUUCACUACAACAUUUCAACUGCUGUCUCCCCCACCUCAGUAGAAGAAAUGUCAAACCUUGAUUCAGUUUUCCUUUCCACACUAUAUACAUAUGGGUAAAGGGAUAAUAGAAUAGUGACUUAGUCACAUCAUAUAUAUACACAUAUAUAUUAUAUAUGCAUAUAUAUAUUGGGCCUGUUUAUAUAUAUAA